AAACCAACAGGGAUUACCUCAGUAACGGCGAGUGAGCGGUAACAGCUCAAAUUUGAAAUCUGGGUCUUUCAGGCUCCGAGUUGUAAUUUGUAGAAGAUGCUUCGGGUGCGGCUCCGGUCUAAGUUCCUUGGAACAGGACGUCAUAGAGGGUGAGAAUCCCGUAUGUGAUCGGUUGCUUGCGCCCAUGUGAAGCUCUUUCGACGAGUCGAGUUGUUUGGGAAUGCAGCUCAAAAUGGGUGGUAAAUUUCAUCUAAAGCUAAAUAUUGGCCAGAGACCGAUAGCGCACAAGUAGAGUGAUCGAAAGAUGAAAAGCACUUUGGAAAGAGAGUUAAACAGUACGUGAAAUUGUUGAAAGGGAAGCGCUUGCAACCAGACUUGCGCGUUGCCGAUCAUCCGGGGUUCUCCCCGGUGCACUCGGCCUCGCUCAGGCCAGCAUCGGUUUUGGUGGUGGGAUAAAGGCCUUGGGAAUGUAGCUCCUUUCGGGGAGUGUUAUAGCCCUCGGUGCAAUGCCGCCUACCGGGACCGAGGACCGCGCUUCGGCUAGGAUGCUGGCGUAAUGGUUGUAAGCGAC
rnacentral:rRNA from 1 species